GGGGAGCCUGAGGUGGGGGGAGCCUGAGGUGGAGGGAGCCUGAGGUGGAGGGAGCCUGAGGUGGAGGGAGCCUGAGGUGGAGGGAGCCUGAGGUGGAGGGAGCCUGAGGUGGAGGGAACCUGAGGUGGAGGGAGCCUGAGGUGGGGGAGCCUGAGGUGGGGGAGCCUGAGGUGGGGGAGCCUGAGGUGGAGGGAGCCUGAGGUGGAGGGAGCCUGAGGUGGAGGGAACCUGAGGUGGAGGGAGCCUGAGGUGGGGGAGCCUGAGGUGGGGGAGCCUGAGGUGGAGGGAGCCUGAGGUGGAGGGAGCCUGAGGUGGGGGAGCCUGAGGUGGGGGAGCCUCAGCUCACCAGCUCCUUUCUAUGCAGCUUGGCCCCCAACUCCUGGGGUGGUGCUGUCCACAUUUAGGGUAAGUUUUCUUACUUUAA